rnacentral:lncRNA from 1 species
AUGGGCUACAGGGCCAGACCUCUGACACAUCUGGGUCAGUCUGACCACUUGUCACUGUUUCUAAUACCUGCAUAUUCCCCCCUCAAGAAAACUGCUCCCACCAUCACAAAGACUAUUACCAUAUGGCCAGAGGGCACCUCUCAGCAGCUGCAGGACUGUUUUGACGGGACUAACUGGGAUAUCUUUGAACAUCAGGACCUGGAAAUGUUCACAGACAGUGUUCUCUGCUACAUAAAACACUGCAUAGACACUGUUACAGCAGACAAAUGUUUCCGGGCUUAUCCCAACCAAAAGCCCUGGAUGACCCGGGAGGUCAAGCAGCUGCUGAAGGAGAGGAACAUCGCGUUCAGGUCUGGCAACAGGGACCACUACACUGUAGCCCGAUCCAACCUGAAAAGAGGCAUCAGAGAGGCGAAGGGGGACUAUAGGAGGAAGAUUGAGGACCAUCUGGAGAGUAACAACAGCCGGCAGGUGUGGCAGGGGAUCCAGCAUCUAACCAACUAUAAGAUCAAUCUCGGAGCUGCGGAAGGUGACCUGGCGCUGGCGGAGGAGCUGAAUAUCUUCUUCGCCCGCUUUGAGGCCAUGGUACUGGAGGUAUUGGAGCCACAGCAGCAACACGCAGCUCACAGCAGCACCACUCUCAACCUUGAAGAACACGAGGUGAGGUGCACUCUGCAGGCCAUUAACCCGAGGAAGGUGGUGGGUCCUGAUGGUGUACCAGGUCGAAUAUUGAGGGAUUGUGCAGAACAGCUGGCUGCGAUCUUCACCAGGAUCUUCAACAAAUCCCUCGCACAGGCGACUGUCCCACUCUGCCUGAAGUCCUCCACCAUAGUCCCCUUGCCUAAGAAGCCCCACAUCACCAGUAUGAAUGACUACAGACCAGUGGCACUCACCCCAGUGGUAAUGAAAUGCUUUGAGAAGCUGGUCUGCAGACACAUCACAGCAGCCCUGCCUCGCAGCCUGGAUCCACACCAGUUUGCCUACAGAGCAAACCGGUCCACGGAAGAUGCUGUAGCCACAGCACUCCAUGAUGCCGUAACACACCUGGAGGAGCAUGGGAGCUAUGUGCGGAUGCUUGUGUGA